GAGUUUGAUCCUGGCUCAGAUUGAACGCUGGCGGCAUGCCUUACACAUACAAGUCGAACGGCAGCACGGGUGCUUGCACCUGGUGGCGAGUGGCGAACGGGUGAGUAAUACAUCGGAACAUGUCCUGUAGUGGGGGAUAGCCCGGCGAAAGCCGGAUUAAUACCGCAUACGAUCUACGGAUGAAAGCGGGGGACCUUCGGGCCUCGCGCUAUAGGGUUGGCCGAUGGCUGAUUAGCUAGUUGGUGGGGUAAAGGCCUACCAAGGCGACGAUCAGUAGCUGGUCUGAGAGGACGACCAGCCACACUGGGACUGAGACACGGCCCAGACUCCUACGGGAGGCAGCAGUGGGGAAUUUUGGACAAUGGGCGAAAGCCUGAUCCAGCAAUGCCGCGUGUGUGAAGAAGGCCUUCGGGUUGUAAAGCACUUUUGUCCGGAAAGAAAUCCUUGGCUCUAAUACAGUCGGGGGAUGACGGUACCGGAAGAAUAAGCACCGGCUAACUACGUGCCAGCAGCCGCGGUAAUACGUAGGGUGCGAGCGUUAAUCGGAAUUACUGGGCGUAAAGCGUGCGCAGGCGGUUUGCUAAGACCGAUGUGAAAUCCCCGGGUUCAACCUGGGAACUGCAUUGGUGACUGGCAGGCUAGAGUAUGGCAGAGGGGGGUAGAAUUCCACGUGUAGCAGUGAAAUGCGUAGAGAUGUGGAGGAAUACCGAUGGCGAAAGGCAGCCCCCUGGGCCAAUACUGACGCUCAUGCACGAAAGCGUGGGGAGCAAACAGGAUUAGAUACCCUGGUAGUCCACGCCCUAAACGAUGUCAACUAGUUGUUGGGGAUUCAUUUCCUUAGUAACGUAGCUAACGCGUGAAGUUGACCGCCUGGGGAGUACGGUCGCAAGAUUAAAACUCAAAGGAAUUGACGGGGACCCGCACAAGCGGUGGAUGAUGUGGAUUAAUUCGAUGCAACGCGAAAAACCUUACCUACCCUUGACAUGGUCGGAAUCCCGCUGAGAGGUGGGAGUGCUCGAAAGAGAACCGGCGCACAGGUGCUGCAUGGCUGUCGUCAGCUCGUAUCGUGAGAUGUUGGGUUAAGUCCCGCAACGAGCGCAACCCUUGUCCUUAGUUGCUACGCAAGAGCACUCUAAGGAGACUGCCGGUGACAAACCGGAGGAAGGUGGGGAUGACGUCAAGUCCUCAUGGCCCUUAUGGGUAGGGCUUCACACGUCAUACAAUGGUCGGAACAGAGGGUUGCCAACCCGCGAGGGGGAGCUAAUCCCAGAAAACCGAUCGUAGUCCGGAUUGCACUCUGCAACUCGAGUGCAUGAAGCUGGAAUCGCUAGUAAUCGCGGAUCAGCAUGCCGCGGUGAAUACGUUCCCGGGUCUUGUACGCACCGCCCGUCACACCAUGGGAGUGGGUUUUACCAGAAGUGGCUAGUCUAACCGCAAGGAGGACGGUCACCACGGUAGGAUUCAUGACUGGGGUGAAGUCGUAACAAGGUA
rnacentral:rRNA from 1 species